AGAGAACGCUGGCGGCAGGCUUAACACAUGCAAGUCGAGCGGGCAUCCUUGUGGUGUCAGCGGCAGACGGGUGAGUAACGCGUGGGAACGUGCCCUUCGGUUCGGAAUAACUCAGGGAAACUUGAGCUAAUACCGGAUACGUGCGAGAGCAGAAAGGUUUAUCUGCCGAAGGAUCGGCCCGCGUCUGAUUAGCUAGUUGGUGAGGUUACGGCUCACCAAGGCGACGAUCAGUAGCUGGUCUGAGAGGAUGAUCAGCCACACUGGGACUGAGACACGGCCCAGACUCCUACGGGAGGCAGCAGUGGGGAAUAUUGGACAAUGGGGGCAACCCUGAUCCAGCCAUGCCGCGUGAGUGAUGACGGCCUUAGGGUUGUAAAGCUCUUUUCUCCGGGACGAUAAUGACGGUACCGGAGGAAUAAGCCCCGGCUAACUUCGUG
rnacentral:rRNA from 1 species